rnacentral:snRNA from 1 species
ACCGAUGAAAUCCCUUCUGCU